rnacentral:rRNA from 1 species
AACGUAGGAGACAAACGUUAUCCGGAGUUACUGGGCGGAAAGGGCGUGUAGGUGGUUUCGUAAGUCUGGCGUGAAAUUUUUCGGCUUAACCGGGAAAGGUCGUCGGAUACUGCAGAACUAGAGGACGGUAGAGGCGUGUGGAAUUCCGGGUGUAGUGGUGAAAUGCGUAGAGAUCCGGAGGAACACCAGUGGCGAAGGCGACACGCUGGGCCGUACCUGACACUGAUGCGCGACAGCAUGGGGAGCAAACAGG